CUCCUACGGGAGGCUGCAGUAACGAAUAUUGGGCAAUGGGCGCAAGCCUGACCCAGCAAUGCCGCGUGCAGGAGGAAGUCCUUCGGGAUGUAAACUGCUGUCAGGGGUCAACAAGCAAAGGGACCUAAUACGUCCUGGCGUUGAGUCGCCCCAGAGGAAGCCUCGACUAACUCUGUGCCAGCAGCCGCGGUAAUACGUAGGCCCCAAGCGUUAUCCGGAUUUAUUGGGCGUAAAGGGUGCGUAGGUGGUUUAUUGCAUCUUUGGUUAAAGUCCCAAGCUCAACUUGGGAAGCGCCAAAGAGAUGAAUAAGCUAGAGAGUACCAGAGGUGGCUGGAACUGCCGGUGUAGGGGUGAAAUCCGUUGAUAUCGGCAGGAACGCCAGAGGUGAAAACGAGCCACUGGGGUAUUUCUGACACUGAGGCACGAAAGUGUGGGGAGCAAAAAGGAUUAGAUACCCUUGUAGUCCACACCCUAAACGAUGCCGACUAGCUGUUUCGAGUAUCGACCCUCGGAGUGGCGAAGCUAACGCGUUAAGUCGGCCGCCUGGGAAGUACGGCCGCAAGGCUAAAACUCAAAGGAAUAGACGGGGACUCACACAAGCGGUGGAG
rnacentral:rRNA from 1 species